CCUUAUAUACUACUUGGCGGUUUAUGAUGCUCCAUUUUGAUAAUAUUAUUGAUCAUGUCCUGCAGAUUUCAGAAAAGACAUCAUAAUAUCUUUUUUGAAAUACGCACUUUUAAGUUGUUUAUAAUUUGAAGUCUAAUCCCCCGCCCCGCCUGAUUAGUCAUAGAGAAAAGAUGCAAAGUUCGAGAUUUAUUCGAUUCUUUUGGAAUCAAGUUAGUUCUAUCUAUUAUUUAUUAGUAUUAGUAUUAUAUUAUUACUACUAUACAUGGUCUCAUUUCAAACUCUCUUCAAUUUCUUUCUUUCUCAGGCUUGGAAGUGUCCUAUCCCUCUUCUGAUGAGUGUUUUUUUCAUUCUCUUUGCUUAUCAGACUUUCAAUGUUGGAUCUCUCUCUGAUUUUUUGUUGAUUGCCUGUGAUAGUGAUAAAAACAAUUUCUUUUCUCUCUUUUCCACUUUCACAUCUCUAUAUAUCAAUUUCUAUAUGGUACAACAAGAAUCAAUACAUGCCACUCUAAAUUUGUUAAGAAAUCAAUGUCUAUUUUUUAAUAUCAUCUUCAAUUUCACACAUACGCUUACUAUUAAUUUGACCUUUGGCUUUACAGUGGAUGAAUUCAAGGACAAAUACAAAAUAUUUUUUAUACAAUACUGCACCAUCGUCUGUUAUUCAGUCAUUUGAAAAAAUCAUUUAAGGUUUUAGCAAGAAAGACAAAACUCGCGUUAUUACUUUAUCAUCAAGUCCUUAAAGGUGUCGUCAGAAGGAUUUUUCACUAUAAGCAGUUUCAGCUUUUCAAAAAUUUAUGAUUCAAAAGGCUUAUACCAGAGCUGAUCACUUGCCUUCAGCACAUACAUGGAACAACAAAUAGUAAUAUUCAGCCACCGGAAAGUAGAGUUGAACAACUGAUGUUCCCAUGGCACAUUGCAAUUGCUAGCAUACUUUCUUUUUCUUUUCUUUUGAUUUUAUUUUUGUUUCUAACUUUGUAAAUCAUCUCAUUAACUAAAUUAUUCAUAAUUUGAAUAUGUUGCUUAGUUGCAAAUUGUGGCUUAUAUAGUUGAAAUAAGUUCCAGCAA